UUCAUAUUCGUAUUCGUAUCCUAGAGAGAGAAACUUCACAGAGCUAGAGAGAGAGAGAAAGAGAGAAAAUUCCUCUCUACUUGUUCUUCUACUUGCUAAUUUUCUGGAUUUGUGUUCUUCAUGAUCGUGCUUUUCUUCAACGGAGAUUGAAUUUCACACUCUAACUUGUUGUGGAAAUGAAAGAGACCGAGAUGGGAAGUAAAGAUGAAUUAAUGGAGGCUCUCAAGAAGGAAGCUGUUGAUUUGG